UAUUAUGGCAAUACCACCCUGAACACGCCCGAUCUCGUCUGAUUUCGGAAGCUAAGCAGGGUUGGGCAUGGUUAGUACUUGGAUGGGAGACCGCCUGGGAAUACCAGGUGCUGUAAGAU